AAGUCGUAACAAGGUUUCCGUAGGUGAACCUGCGGAAGGAUCAUUAUUGAUUGAUGUACUCUUCUUUUGUUGGUUGCUCCUUUUUUGGGGCUCCACUUUAGAAGAGACACCGACCUUUUGUGCACCAUUUGUCUGGACAACAGUCUUUGCAGUUUUGUGAGAUUGGAAUUCAGUCAAAAACCUACCUUUUUAGAACCUUUGCCUGAUGAUCAAUAUUUCUUUGUAAAUAAACAAUCAUAAUUUGAAAUAACUUUUAACAACGGAUCUCUUGGCUCUCC
rnacentral:misc_RNA from 1 species